AGGAUAAUAGUUAAAAAUAACAUUUGAUUUGCAUUCAAAAAGUGUUGGAUUACCAACUUAUCUUA
rnacentral:tRNA from 1 species